GCCUGGGUGGCUCAGUCGGUUGAGCGUCCGACUUCAGCUCAGGUCAUGAUCUCGCGGUUCGUGGGUUCGAGCCCCGCGUCGGGCU
rnacentral:tRNA from 1 species